UACGUAGGGGGCAAGCGUUAUCCGGAUUUACUGGGUGUAAAGGGAGCGUAGGUGGUUCGGCAAGUCUGAUGUGAAAGCCCGGGGCUCAACCCCGGGACUGCAUUGGAAACUGUCGGACUUGAGUGCUGGAGAGGUAAGUGGAAUUCCUAGUGUAGCGGUGAAAUGCGUAGAUAUUAGGAGGAACACCAGUGGCGAAGGCGGCUUACUGGACAGUAACUGACACUGAGGCUCGAAAGCGUGGGGAGCAAACAGG
rnacentral:rRNA from 1 species